UACGUAGGUGGCAAGCGUUGUCCGGAAUUAUUGGGCGUAAAGCGCGCGCAGGUGGUUCCUUAAGUCUGAUGUGAAAGCCCACGGCUCAACCGUGGAGGGUCAUUGGAAACUGGGGGACUUGAGUGCAGAAGAGGAAAGCGGAAUUCCACGUGUAGCGGUGAAAUGCGUAGAUAUCUGGAGGAACACCGGUGGCGAAGGCGGCGUCCUGGACCAACACUGACACUGAGGAGCGAAAGCCAGGGGAGCAAACGGG
rnacentral:rRNA from 1 species